UACGUAGGUGGCAAGCGUUGUCCGGAUUUACUGGGCGUAAAGAGCGCGCAGGCGGUCGUUCAAGUCGCGUGUGAAAGCCCCCGGCUCAACUGGGGAGGGUCACGCGAUACUGAUCGACUCGAAGGCAGGAGAGGGUAGUGGAAAUCCCGGUGUAGUGGUGAAAUGCGUAGAUAUCGGGAGGAACACCGGUGGCGAAGGCGGCGACCUGGGUAGAUACUGACGCUGAGGCGCGAAAGCGUGGGGAGCAAACAGG
rnacentral:rRNA from 1 species